AACGAACGCUGGCGGCAUGCCUAACACAUGCAAGUCGAACGAGAUCUUCGGGUCUAGUGGCGCACGGGUGCGUAACGCGUGGGAAUCUGCCCUUUGGUACGGAAUAACAGUUGGAAACGACUGCUAAUACCGGACGAUGACGAAAGUCCAAAGAUUUAUCGCCAGAGGAUGAGCCCGCGUAGGAUUAGCUAGUUGGUGUGGUAAAGGCGCACCAAGGCGACGAUCCUUAGCUGGUCUGAGAGGAUGAUCAGCCACACUGGGACUGAGACACGGCCCAGACUCCUACGGGAGGCAGCAGUGGGGAAUAUUGGACAAUGGGCGAAAGCCUGAUCCAGCAAUGCCGCGUGAGUGAUGAAGGCCUUAGGGUUGUAAAGCUCUUUUACCCGGGAUGAUAAUGACAGUACCGGGAGAAUAAGCUCCGGCUAACUCCGUGCCAGCCGCCGCUGUAA
rnacentral:rRNA from 1 species